CGAAAGCCUGACGGAGCAAGACCGCGUGGGGGAGGAAAGCCUUUGGGUUGUAAACCCCUUUUCUCAGGGAAGAAGAAAGUGACGGUACCUGAGGAAUCAGCCUCGGCUAACUCCGUGCCAGCAGCCGCGGUAAUACGGAGGAUGCAAGCGUUAUCCGGAAUUAUUGGGCGUAAAGCGUCCGUAGGCGGUUUAGAAAGUCCGUUGUUAAAGCCCACAGCUCAACUGUGGAUGGGCAAUGGAAACUACUAGACUAGAGAGUGGUAGUGGUAGAGGGAAUUCCUAGUGUAGCGGUGAAAUGCGUAGAUAUUAGGAAGAACACCAGUGGCGAAGGCGCUCUACUGGGCCAUUACUGACGCUGAUGGACGAAAGCUAGGGGAGCG
rnacentral:rRNA from 1 species